rnacentral:misc_RNA from 1 species
AAUUUUUCUUCUCUCUUAUCUCUGUGACCUUUGGACUUGCAUUGUUGUUUUGGGCUGAAACCCUGAAAUUAAUGAAGCUAUCUUUAGCAAAUACACACACACACACACAUCGAAUGCAGUACACACAGUGCUAUUCUACCACGUCACCAAAUCUUCCGAUCAACGACCGCCAAGUGCUUAACACGUGGCCAACGAAUGCAUCUUGCUUCAUGCGGGUAUCAGUUGUCGGAUUUCAUGCGCGCAUCGCAACGCACACCGGAUAUAUUUCGCCGUUAAGACUCACUCAUACCACCACUAUAUGUAACCAAUGCAAUCCACAUCAUCAGCAUCGCAAGUCGCAAUUCUCUCGAUCGCUGGCUUUAGCUCUCUUUUUUUUGUUUCUAAUUUCAGCUUGUUAUUUCAAUUUUAUGUGAUUAAUUAUGGCCAGUCAGAGCAACCCGAUUCCAGCUAUGACAACUUCUCAACCGUUGCAGUCACCAGUGGUGGUGAUCGGACCACAG